CCUACGGGUGGCAGCAGUGAGGAAUAUUGGUCAAUGGACGAGAGUCUGAACCAGCCAAGUAGCGUGAAGGAUGACUGCCCUAUGGGUUGUAAACUUCUUUUAUAAAGGAAUAAAACGAGGCACGUGUGCCUUUUUGCAUGUACUUUAUGAAUAAGGAUCGGCUAACUCCGUGCCAGCAGCCGCGGUAAUACGGAGGAUCCGAGCGUUAUCCGGAGUUAUUGGGUUUAAAGGGAGCGUAGAUGGGUUGUUAAGUCAGUUGUGAAAGUUUGCGGCUCAACCGUAAAAUUGCAAUUGAUACUGGCAGUCUAGAGUACAGUUGAGGUAGGCGGAAUUCGUGGUGUAGCGGUGAAAUGCUUAGAUAUCACGAAGAACCCCGAUUGCGAAGGCAGCUUACUAAACUGUGACUGACAUUGAUGCUCGAAAGUGUGGGUAUCAAACAGGAUUAGAUACUCUAGUAGUC
rnacentral:rRNA from 1 species